rnacentral:rRNA from 1 species
GACGAACGCUGGCGGCGUGCUUAACACAUGCAAGUCGAACGAUGAACCUCGAAAUGCCAUCUUCGGAAGGAUUUUUGAGAGGAUUAGUGGCGAACGGGUGAGUAACGCGUGAGCAACCUGCCUUAGACAAGGGGAUAGCCUCGGGAAACCGUGAUUAAUACCCUAUGAGACUCCACUUACGAGUGUAAGAGAAGUUAAAGCUAUUGCGGUCUAAGAUGGGCUCGCGUCUGAUUAGCUAGUUGGUGAGAUAAAAGCCCACCAAGGCGACGAUCAGUAACCGGCUUGAGAGAGUGAACGGUCACAUUGGAACUGAGACACGGUCCAAACUCCUACGGGAGGCAGCAGUGGGGAAUAUUGCACAAUGGGGGGGGAACCCUGAUGCAGCGACGCCGCGUGAGCGAUGAAGGAAUUCGUUUCGUAAAGCUCUGUCCUUGGAGAAGAUAAUGACGGUAACCAAGGAGGAAGCACCGGCUAAAUACGUG